AGGUCCCGCCUGCCCUGUGACUAUAUGUUUAACGGCCGCGGUAUUUUGACCGUGCGAAGGUAGCGCAAUCACUUGUCUUUUAAAUGGGGACCUGUAUGAAUGGCAUAACGAGGGCUUAACUGUCUCCUCUUUCAAGUCAAUGAAAUUGAUCUCCCCGUGCAGAAGCGAGGAUAAAUACAUAAGACGAGAAGACCCUAUGGAGCUUUAGACACUAAAGCAGAUCAGUAUCAAUACCCUGAACAUAGGCUACGAACAAACUGAUCCCUGCCCUAAUGUCUUUGGUUGGGGCGACCGCGGAGAAAAAUAAAACCCCCGCAAGGACUAAAUGUACUACAUUCACAAACAAGAGCGACAGCUCUAACUAACAGAACUUCUGACCAAUAAGAUCCGGCAAUGCCGAUCAAUGAACCGAGUUACCCUAGGGAUAACAGCGCAAUCUCCUCUUAGAGCCCAUAUCGACGAGGAGGUUUACGACCUCGAUGUUGGAUCAGGACAUCCUAAUGGUGCAGCCGCUAUUAAGGGUUCGUUUGUUCAACGAUUAAAGUCCUACGUGAU
rnacentral:rRNA from 1 species